UACGUAGGGGGCAAGCGUUAUCCGGAUUUACUGGGUGUAAAGGGAGCGUAGACGGAGGAGCAAGUCUGAAGUGAAAGCUCGCGGCUCAACUGCGGGACUGCUUUGGAAACUGUUCAUCUAGAGUGUCGGAGAGGUAAGUGGAAUUCCUAGUGUAGCGGUGAAAUGCGUAGAUAUUAGGAGGAACACCAGUGGCGAAGGCGGCUUACUGGACGAUGACUGACGUUGAGGCUCGAAAGCGUGGGGAGCAAACAGG
rnacentral:rRNA from 1 species